CUCUCUCUGCCCCUCCCCUGUUCAUACUCUGUCUCUCUGUCCCAAAAAUAAAUAAACGUUGAAAAAAAAAAAUUAAAAAAAAGAACAGCAGCCCGGAAACCAGGACGCAAGAGAAAGAAAAUAUGUCUGGCACAUGUGAGAAGGAGCAUAUGUGGGCACCGUACAAGGGGCAGGUGCCCGGACCUUACAUAGAAGGACUGGAUCCUCUCUGUGGGCACCUGCUCUCAGCCCUCUGCCAGUCUGCGCCCUGGACACUCGUCCUCUCCAUUUCUCUAAGUUUCCACCCGAGUCCAUCCAGAGCCUGCCUCGAGCUUCCCUUGUCUGGUCAGAGAAACAUGCUUUGCCCCUGGCACCUGGGCGGUGGAGGUUGACCCAGCACAGCUUGACCUUCACACGACCCAGGAGAUGAUGUCAUUCCAGCUCGCCCCAGGAAAACAUGUCAGGAUCUUGGGCAGCUCCUUGUGCAGUGCACAGGACAUGAUUCAUCCAAAUGUGAUAACUGCGUCGGUGAAGUCACAGACAUCUGAGGCUCAGGCAGUCCUCAGUGAAGUGGACUCCCAACGUGCCAUUCACGUCCUGCUAGAAGGCGUAGGUGGGAUUCAGACAGCACUGCUGGGGGUAUUGGAGGCUGGAUCCUCACCACCUGCACUACUAGGCCAGGAAUUGCAAACUUUGCCUAUGAAGGCCAGGUAGGAAAUAUUUAGGCUCUGUGUAAAUAUGCGAUCUCUGUUGCAAUUCAAAUACAUAGACCAGUUGGGUUUCGAUAACACUUCAUUUACAGAAGCGGGGGUGGGGGGGUGGGGACAUCGCCUCCCGCCCUGGGUUGGUCAUUGAGACCUGCUCGAGACCGACAGUGGUAAACUUGAGGUUGCCUCAGAAUCAUCAGAAGGGCUCAUUAGAACCAAGCUGGUGGCCAACACCCUCUUGAAUUUUCUGAUUCAGUAGGUCUUGAGUGAGGCCCAAGGCUUUCCGUUGUCAGUCUGUCUCCAGGUGAUUCUGGUACGCAGGGUUGGGGACCACGCAUUGAGAACCACUGCCCAGAGGAAUAUUAAUACACAUAGCCUGCACGUCACCUCUUGAAAGCAAAUCAGAAUUAAUAGAACAUCUUGCCAUUCCUAUGACUAAGUCCCUAUCCUGUCCUUCUCCUUGCAGUCUUUAUUCAGGAAUUUUUGUUUUCUGGAACAUCAGCUCUGUCAGACAGGGAUUCUGAAGAAUCCUGUCUUGUCAUUCACAGUGCCUGGCAUAGUGGCUUAGGUGCUCAAACAUGUUUGCUUGGAGAAUGAAAAUAAAAUGAAUGGCUGUAUUGCUGGGUUAGAUUAGUUCCAACAAUUUUAAAAAUGUGAUAAAAAUACUAAGGAUUUGGGUAUAUUGCUCUGACUCAGAGAAUAACAUUAACCCGUGGGGAAAAAUCGUUUGUAUUGAACAGUAGCUCAUUUUUUCCAGUUCACACAUUUAAGGAAAAUCUACAUUUUGAAGAUGGUCCUGAGUUUUGUCCCAGUCAUAUUAAAUGUAGCCUGCGUUAUGAGUCUCCAUCAGAAGAAACUCUUGCCUGUCAAGAGAUUGUUCCUUCGAGAUCGGGGACGAAAGGAGAUUCAGGCUAUAGGUUUCACUAAAGGCAGUACCAGCCUAGGCAAUAAAUGAUCUUACGGUGGAAAGAUUGGGAUCAGCCUGACUGGACAUGUCUAGAAAUAGCUAGAGCAGAGGACCGCCUGCCCGGACUGAUUUCCCCCUCGGGGUAAAUAGCCAGGUGUCAGGCGAGGACCAAGGCACGUACGAAUCUCAAUGCUUUGGUGGAACCAUAGAGGCAUCAGGGCCCCGUGGUUCCCUUGAUUUAGAAAACCGGCUGGGAAAUUAAAAUGUCCUCCGAACGAUUUGAAUUGGGAAGAAGACAACCUCAUUUAGUUUCAGAGCAUGACUUUUCUCCCCGCCACACCCCCAAUUCUGAAAGAACCCGACCACAGUAGCCGAAUGUAAAGGCCACUUGCUGUCUGCAGUAGGCAUGCAUCAGGGCUUUCCUGCGUCCAAAUGUUCAUUUCAACUGACAAAACAUUCCCGGCACUUUAAUUUUAUUUCAUAACGAACAGGCAAACUUAACUUCUAAGCAUUUUUAUUCCGAGUUUAAUGGCUCACACUCCCGAGGUCGGCAAGCAGAUGGAGUUGAAGACGAGAAUGUAUAAUUGCAGAUCAUGAAACUGCAAAAUUAAUAUUACUUUGUUAAUGUCAAGAUAAGAUUUGAGAGCCAGAAGGGAUUUUCAAGAUCAUUGAUCUUAAACCUCAUCACACACAGGAAGACAGUGAGGCGGAGGGAUGGCGUGUCCUUCCCAGACUCACAGAGCCAGCAAGGGACAGAACUACGUGUGAUGCCGCCUCCCGGCAUCCAAGCCAGUCCUCCUGCUCCUGGGCUCCACUCUCCCCAUUGACUCCUUUACAAGAAAGGGGCUCUCAUUUUUCCUCUGCUGCUUUACCUUCCAGUGUACAUGUAUGGGAGAAAGAGCGAGAGAACGUGUGCACAUCUGCGAUGGGUAUUUGGCUAUAAAUUUCAAUUUAGUGCGCCGUUUUGAGAUAUUUCAGAAUUUACUUUGAUGUGUUAACAGAACAUCAAACAAAAUCCCCGAUGGCAUGAAUCAAGAAUGACUUACCCCCACUACGUGUAGUAGUAAUGAGGAUCUGAUUGGGCCGUAUAUGACAGAGACCCAAAAUAACAGGCACCAAAACCCUGGAGGUUUCCAGGUGUAGGGAAAAUCCAGAGAGCUGUCAUGAUGAUAAUACCUCACACAUACGUCAGGGGCCUGGUUCCUUCUCUCCAUAGCUCUGCAAUUCUUAGAGGGCUUCCCAUGUGUUCAUGGGUUAGCAUGGUUAACUACCACCCUGGAAAUUCUAGCCAGGAGGGAAGGGAGAGGAGAAAGGAGAAAGGGGGUGCACAAUCCUUCCCUUGUGCCCAUGCCCGGGAAGCUGCACCCACGUUUCCCUGAUUGGAACUUAGUUAAGGGGUCAGACUUAGGUUCUGGGUAGCCACAUGCCCAGCUAAACAUAGUUUAUAGCAUUACAUACUACAGAAGAAACAGCGGUUACUGCUUUCUGCCAUAGUUGGCCACUCUGGCCAUCCACAUAUCUGUGCCUACCCAUCUUGUCACGUGAAGAACCCAGUACCCAAAGCAGGCAAUCCCUAAGUCUCAUAUUGUGAGUUUAUGGCACCUACAUGACAUGGUCCCCCACAGGGUUGGUCCCCUCAGGUUAGCCAUAAACUAAAAGAUAAGUUUCCUGCCCAUUCAUCGCAUCUAAUAUGUAAUGGUGGAGCAGGAGCAGAAGACCUCAAUGGAAAAAACGUCUCCCACUACUGAUCAGCACGGGAGUUUUGACCUGCUCCGUUUCCGAGCUGGGCCGGUUCACCCCUCCUUAGGCAACCUGGUGGUCCCCAGCUCCCAGGAGUUCACCAUAUUGAUGCCUAAAUGUCCAUCAACUGAUGAAUGGAUAAAGAAAUUGUGGUUGAUAUACACAAUGGAAUACUACUUGGCAAUGAGAAAGAAUGAAAUCUGGCCUUUUGUAGCAACGUGGAUGG